rnacentral:rRNA from 1 species
UACGAAGGGGGCUAGCGUUGCUCGGAUUGACUGGGCGUAAAGGGCGCGUAGGCGGUUCGUACAGUCAGACGUGAAAUUCCUGGGCUCAACCUGGGGGCUGCGUUUGAUACGUGCGGGCUUGAGUCCGGAAGAGGGUCGUGGAAUUCCCAGUGUAGAGGUGAAAUUCGUAGAUAUUGGGAAGAACACCGGUGGCGAAGGCGGCGACCUGGUCCGGUACUGACGCUGAGGCGCGAAAGCGUGGGGAGCAAACAGG